GGCGGCGUGCUUAACACAUGCAAGUCGAGCGGAAAGGCCCUUCGGGGUACUCGAGCGGCGAACGGGUGAGUAACACGUGAGUAACCUGCCCCAGGCUUUGGGAUAACCCUCGGAAACGGGGGCUAAUACCGAAUAUUCAUUCCUAGCGGCAUCGUUGGGUGUGGAAAGUUUUUCGGCUUGGGAUGGGCUCGCGGCCUAUCAGCUUGUUGGUGGGGUGAUGGCCUACCAAGGCGACGACGGGUAGCCGCCUGAGAGGGCGACCGGCCACACUGGGACUGAGACACGGCCCAGACUCCUACGGGAGGCAGCAGUGGGGAAUAUUGCACAAUGGGCGGAAGCCUGAUGCAGCGACGCCGCGUGAGGGAUGAAGGCCUUCGGGUUGUAAACCUCUUUCGACAGGGACGAAGCGCAAGUGACGGUACCUGGAGAAGAAGCGCCGGCCAACUACGUGCCAGCAGCCGCGGUAAGACGUAGGGCGCGAGCGUUGUCCGGAUUUAUUGGGCGUAAAGAGCUCGUAGGCGGCUUGUUGCGUCAGCUGUGAAAACCCGCAGCUCAACUGUGGGCUUGCAGCUGAUACGGGCAGGCUUGAGUUCGGUAGGGGAGACUGGAAUUCCUGGUGUAGCGGUGAAAUGCGCAGAUAUCAGGAGGAACACCGGUGGCGAAGCCGGGUCUCUGGGCCGAUACUGACGCUGAGGAGCGAAAGCGUGGGGAGCGAACAGGAUUAGAUACCCUGGUAGUCCACGCUGUAAACGUUGGGCGCUAGGUGUGGGGGGCCUCUCCGGUCCUCUGUGCCGCAGCUAACGCAUUAAGCGCCCCGCCUGGGGAGUACGGCCGC
rnacentral:rRNA from 1 species